rnacentral:lncRNA from 1 species
UUUAAGUAAGUUUCUUUGAGUCUUCAUAACUGUUUUCUUGUUUUUCGUGUUUAAGUUUUGUCAUCAUCUUACUUCCUUUUUUGUUUAGCUUUCUUUCUUUCAACUUUUCUUACUUGUCUUUAAAUUCUCUUAAAUUUUUGUUGGGGGAUUCUUUGCAUGAGCAAGUGCUAAGAGUUUUGACCUCUUUCACUUGAAGUGUUGCUACCAAGUGUAGACCCUUUGGCGUUUUUGAAAACCUUUCUUGAGUGAUUCUACCCUUU